GAUGAACGCUAGCGGGAGGCCUAACACAUGCAAGCCGAGCGGUAUUGUUUCUUCGGAAAUGAGAGAGCGGCGUACGGGUGCGUAACACGUGUGCAACCUGCCUUUAUCGGGGGGAUAGCCUUUCGAAAGGAAGAUUAAUACUCCAUAAUAUAUUGAACGGCAUCGAUUAAUAUUGAAAGCUCCGGCGGUGAGAGAUGGGCACGCGCAAGAUUAGCUAGUUGGUGAGGCAACGGCUCACCAAGGCGAUGAUCUUUAGGGGGCAUGGGAGGGUGAUCCCCCACACUGGUACUGAGACACGGACCAGACUCCUACGGGAGGCAGCCGUGAAGAAUAUUGGUCAAUGGGUGCAAGCCUGAACCAGCCAUCCCGCGUGAAGGACGACUGCCCUAUGGGUUGUAAACUUCUUUUGUAUAGGGAUAAACCUACCCUCGUGAGGGUAGCUGAAGGUACUAUACGAAUAAGCACCGGCUAACUCCGUGCCAGCAGCCGCGGUAAGAC
rnacentral:rRNA from 1 species